rnacentral:rRNA from 1 species
GAUGAACGCUGGCGGCGUGCCUAAUACAUGCAAGUCGAGCGAACGGACGAGAAGCUUGCUUCUCUGAUGUUAGCGGCGGACGGGUGAGUAACACGUGGAUAACCUACCUAUAAGACUGGGAUAACUUCGGGAAACCGGAGCUAAUACCGGAUAAUAUUUUGAACCGCAUGGUUCAAAAGUGAAAGACGGUCUUGCUGUCACUUAUAGAUGGAUCCGCGCUGCAUUAGCUAGUUGGUAAGGUAACGGCUUACCAAGGCAACGAUGCAUAGCCGACCUGAGAGGGUGAUCGGCCACACUGGAACUGAGACACGGUCCAGACUCCUACGGGAGGCAGCAGUAGGGAAUCUUCCGCAAUGGGCGAAAGCCUGACGGAGCAACGCCGCGUGAGUGAUGAAGGUCUUCGGAUCGUAAAACUCUGUUAUUAGGGAAGAACAUAUGUGUAAGUAACUGUGCACAUCUUGACGGUACCUAAUCAGAAAGCCACGGCUAACUACGUGCCAGCAGCCGCGGUAAUACGUAGGUGGCAAGCGUUAUCCGGAAUUAUUGGGCGUAAAGCGCGCGUAGGCGGUUUUUUAGUCUGAUGUGAAAGCCCACGGCUCAACCGUGGAGGGUCAUUGGAAACUGGAAAACUUGAGUGCAGAAGAGGAAAGUGGAAUUCCAUGUGUAGCGGUGAAAUGCGCAGAGAUAUGGAGGAACACCAGUGGCGAAGGCGACUUUCUGGUCUGUAACUGACGCUGAUGUGCGAAAGCGUGGGGAUCAAACAGGAUUAGAUACCCUGGUAGUCCACGCCGUAAACGAUGAGUGCUAAGUGUUAGGGGGUUUCCGCCCCUUAGUGCUGCAGCUAACGCAUUAAGCACUCCGCCUGGGGAGUACGACCGCAAGGUUGAAACUCAAAGGAAUUGACGGGGACCCGCACAAGCGGUGGAGCAUGUGGUUUAAUUCGAAGCAACGCGAAGAACCUUACCAAAUCUUGACAUCCUUUGACAACUCUAGAGAUAGAGCCUUCCCCUUCGGGGGACAAAGUGACAGGUGGUGCAUGGUUGUCGUCAACUCGUGUCGUGAGAUGUUGGGUUAAGUCCCGCAACGAGCGCAACCCUUAAGCUUAGUUGCCAUCAUUAAGUUGGGCACUCUAAGUUGACUGCCGGUGACAAACCGGAGGAAGGUGGGGAUGACGUCAAAUCAUCAUGCCCCUUAUGAUUUGGGCUACACACGUGCUACAAUGGACAAUACAAAGGGCAGCGAAACCGCGAGGUCAAGCAAAUCCCAUAAAGUUGUUCUCAGUUCGGAUUGUAGUCUGCAACUCGACUACAUGAAGCUGGAAUCGCUAGUAAUCGUAGAUCAGCAUGCUACGGUGAAUACGUUCCCGGGUCU